rnacentral:rRNA from 1 species
AAUUUAACGGGGCUAAAUCGUACACCGAAGCUUGGGAAUAUCAGUUAUUCUUCAUGGACUUGCAAGGAAAGAGACCAUGGCACGAAGUGCCAUCAAAUUGUCCAUAAGGAUAAAGCGAGCUUGUGAAGAAUAACUGAUAUUGGUAGGAGAGCGUUGAAUGCGGGGUGAAGUCAGAGCGAAAGCGCUGGUGGACUGCAUUGAAGUGAGAAUGCCGGAAUGAGUAGCGAGAUUUAUGUGAGAAUCAUAAAGGCCGAAAGACUAAGGUUUCAGAAGGAAGGUUCGUCCGCUUCUGGUUAGCCGGGAGCUAAGGUGAGGCCGAAAGGCGUAGCCGAUGCACAUACGGUGGAGAUUCCGUAGCCGUCGAAAUAUUUAAGCAAAGGGACACUUAUGAAGGACAUGACCCGGGCGAUGGUAGCCCCGGGCGUAAGGGACUGAAAACAAGUAAGGAAGCAUGUUUGGAUUAAGGCGAGAAAAGCUUUGUGUAUAUAUUAGACGUCCGUACCGCAAACCGACACAGGUAGUCAGGAAGAGGAUUCUAAGGCCAACGGGAGAAGGGUAGUUAAGGAACUCGGCAAAUUGACCCCGUAACUUCGGGAUAAGGGGCGGUGCGUAAGCACCCGCAGUGAAUAGGUCCAGGCGACUGUUUAUCAAAAACACAGCUCUCUGCUAAAUCGAAAGAUGACGUAUAGGGGGUGACACCUGCCCGGUGCUGGAAGGUUAAGAGGAGGAGUGCAAGCUCCGAAUUGAAGCCCCAGUAAACGGCGGCCGUAACUAUAACGGUCCUAAGGUAGCGAAAUUCCUUGUCGGGUAAGUUCCGACCCGCACGAAUGGUGUAACGAUCUGGACGCUGUCUCAACUGCCCGCCCGGCGAAAUUGUAGUACCGGUGAAGAUGCCGGUUACCCGCGGCAAGACGGAAAGACCCCAUGGAGCUUUACUGUAACUUGAUAUUGGGUCUUGGUAUUCUAUGUACAGGAUAGGCGGGAGACUAUGAAACAUACACGCCAGUGUAUGCGGAGUCACCCUUGGGAUACCGCUCUUAGAGUACUGAGAUUCUAACCUGCGGCCGUGAAUCCGGUCGGGGGACAUUGUCAGGUGGGCAGUUUGACUGGGGCGGUCGCCUCCUAAAAGGUAACGGAGGCGCUCAAAGGUUAGCUCAGCACGGUCGGAAACCGUGCCUCUGAGUGCAAACGCAAAAGCUAGCCUAACUGCGAGGCUGACGGGCCGAGCAGUAACGAAAGUUGGAGUUAGUGAUCCGG